rnacentral:rRNA from 1 species
CUCGGUGACGAUAGCGGCGGGGAGACACCUGUUCCCAUCCCGAACACAGCAGUUAAGCCCGCCAGCGCCGAUGGUACUGCCCUGGCAACGGGGUGGGAGAGUAGGUCAUCGCCGAGU